GAUGAACGCUAGCGGCAGGCCUAAUACAUGCAAGUCGGACGGGAUUUGGGAGCUUGCUCCUAAUGAGAGUGGCGCACGGGUGCGUAACACGUAUGUAACCUACCUUAGUCAGGGGGAUAGCCUCUCGAAAGAGAGAUUAAGACCGCAUAACAUUAUUGAGUGGCAUCAUUUAAUAAUCAAAUAUUUAUAGGACUAAGGUGGGCAUGCGGAACAUUAGCUAGUUGGUAGGGUAACGGCCUACCAAGGCUACGAUGUUUAGGGGAUCUGAGAGGAUGGCCCCCCACACUGGUACUGAGACACGGACCAGACUCCUACGGGAGGCAGCCGUAAGGAAUAUUGGUCAAUGGGCGAAAGCCUUAACCAGCCAUGCCGCGUGCAGGAAGACGGCCCUACGGGUUGUAAACUGCUUUUAUACGGGAAUAAACCUACUUACGUGUAAGUAGCUGAAUGUACUGUAAGAAUAAGGAUCGGCUAACUCCGUGCCAGCCGCCGCGGUAA
rnacentral:rRNA from 1 species